GGUAUUGUGACUCAGUGGUAGAGUGCUUGCCUGGCACGUGUGAGGCACUUGAGUUCAAUCCUCAGCACCA
rnacentral:tRNA from 1 species